UGGAGCUGCAACGCUUGUA
rnacentral:siRNA from 1 species